AUUGAACGCUGGCGGCAGGCCUAACACAUGCAAGUCGAACGAGUGGCGGACGGGUGAGUAAUGUCUGGGAAACUGCCUGAUGGAGGGGGAUAACUACUGGAAACGGUAGCUAAUACCGCAUACCAUCGGAUGUGCCCAGAUGGGAUUAGCUAGUAGGUGGGGUAAAGGCUCACCUAGGCGACGAUCCCUAGCUGGUCUGAGAGGAUGACCAGCCAAACUGGAACUAAGCCACGGUCCAGACUCAAAGGGAGGGCAGCAGGGGGGAGUAUUGCACAAGGGGGGCAAGCGUAAUGCGGCCAUGCGGGGGGUGGAAAGAAGGCAUUCGGGUUGUAAAGCACUUUCAGCGAUGAGGCGUUACUCGCAGAGGAAGCACCGGCUAACUCCGUGCCAGCAGCCGCGUAAUAC
rnacentral:rRNA from 1 species